rnacentral:misc_RNA from 1 species
GAUGAAGAACGUAGCGAAAUGCGAUAACUAGUGUGAAUUGCAGAAUUCAGUGAACCAUCGAGUCUUUGAACGCACAUUGCGGCCGCUGGUAUUCCGGCGGCCACGCCUGUCCGAGCGCCACACACCACCCUCAGGCCUAGCCUGGUGUUGGAGGGCCCUGGAGUUUUUUUGCUCCAGGGCCCCCCGAAAAGCAGUGGCGGCGACGCUGACGACGCAACGCGAGCAGUAGCAACACUCUCGCGGGCCCGCAGCGCUGCCUGCCGGCUCCUUUAGGGGCCGCAACAACUUAUCACAGGUUGGCCUCGGAUCAGGCGGGAGUACCCGCUGAACUUAAGCAUAUCAAUAAGCGGAGGA